rnacentral:rRNA from 1 species
GUGGGGAAUAUUGCACAAUGGGGGAAACCCUGAUGCAGCAACGCCGCGUGAAGGAUGACGGUUUUCGGAUUGUAAACUUCUUUUCUUAGUGACGAAGACAGUGACGGUAGCUAAGGAAUAAGCAUCGGCUAACUACGUGCCAGCAGCCGCGGUAAUACGUAGGAUGCAAGCGUUAUCCGGAUUUACUGGGUGUAAAGGGAGCGCAGGCGGGACUGCAAGUUGGAUGUGAAAUACCGUGGCUUAACCACGGAACUGCAUCCAAAACUGUAGUUCUUGAGUGAAGUAGAGGCAAGCGGAAUUCCGAGUGUAGCGGUGAAAUGCGUAGAUAUUCGGAGGAACACCAGUGGCGAAGGCGGCUUGCUGGGCUUUAACUGACGCUGAGGCUCGAAAGUGUGGGGAGCAAACAGGA